GGCAGCCGCGGUAAUUCCAGCUCCAAUAGCGUAUAUUAAAGUUGUUGCAGUUAAAAAGCUCGUAGUUGAAUUUCGAGAUCAGUACGCUGGUCGUGCCUUCGGUAUGCACUGGUGUCUCUGGUUUCUCCCUUCUGAAGAACCGUCAUGUCAUUAAGUUGAUGUGGCGGGGAAUCAGGACUGUUACUUUGAAAAAUUAGAGUGUUUAAAGCAGGCUCGCGCUUGAAUACAUUAGCAUGGAAUAAUGAAAUAGGACGUUUGACCCUAUUUUGUUGGUUUCUAGGAUCGACGUAAUGAUUAAUAGGGAUAGUUGGGGGCAUUAGUAUUCAAUCGUCAGAGGUGAAAUUCUUGGAUUUGUUGAAGACUAACUACUGCGAAAGCAUUUGCCAAGGAUGUUUUCAUUAAUCAGGAACGAAAGUUAGGGGAUCGAAGACGAUCAGAUACCGUCGUAGUCUUAACCAUAAACUAUGCCGACUAGGGAUCGGAUGAUGUUAAUUUUUUAAUGA
rnacentral:rRNA from 1 species